rnacentral:rRNA from 1 species
GACGAACCGUGCGAACGUUGUUCGGAAUCACUGGGCUUAAAGGGCGCGUAGGCGGGCUAUCAAGUCCGGGGUGAAAUCCUCCAGCUCAACUGGAGAACUGCCUCGGAUACUGAUGGUCUCGAGGAGGAUAGGGGCACACGGAACGUGUGGGGUGGAGCGGUGGAAAUGCGUUGAUAUCAGAAGGAACGCCGGUGGCGAAGCGAACG